rnacentral:RNase_P_RNA from 1 species
UAAAUUUUGGGUAAUUGCGGUCUAGCUUGACUAGGCUGAGGAAAGUCCAUGCUCGCACAAGCUGAGAUGCUUGUAGUGUUCGUGCUUAGCGAAACCAUAAGCUAAGGCCUUUAUCAAAUGAUAAAGUAACGGCGGAAAAAAUGGCUAAGGUUGUAAAACUAUGCUUGAGUAUUCCUGAAAAGUGCCACAGUGACGAAGCCAUUAUGGAAACGUAAUGGGUGGAACGCGGUAAACCCCUCGAGCGAGCAACCCAAACUUUGGUAGGGGCACUCUUUCUAAGGAAAUGAACGAGAGAAAGAGGCAAGUAAUUGCAGACAGAUAAUUACCUCGGGAGUGUGCAGUCACCUGACUCGCAUUCCCUGACAGAACAUGGCUUACAGAAAUU